AUGUCAGCAGCCGCGGUAAUACGUAGGUCCCGAACGUUGCGCGAAUUUACUGGGCGUAAAGGGUCCGUAGGCGGUCUGGUAAGUGGAAGGUGAAAUCCUGGGGCUCAACUCCAGAAUUGCCUUCCAAACUGCCGGACUUGAGGCAGGGAGAGGUCGGCGGAAUUCCCGGUGUAGCGGGGAAAUGCGUAGAUAUCGGGAGGAACACCAGUGGCGAAGGCGGUCGACUGGAACUGACCUGACGCUGAGGGACGAAAGCCAGGGGAGGGAACCGGAUUAGAUACCCGGGUAGUCCUGGCCGUAAACGAUGGAUGCUAGAUGUGGGCGGGGAGACCCGUCCGUGGCGCAAGCUAACGCGUUAAGCAUCCCGCCUGGGGAGUACGGCCGCAAGGUUGAAACUUAAAGGAAUUGGCGGGG
rnacentral:rRNA from 1 species